GUAGAUAUAGUUUAACAAGAACGCCAGAUUGUGAUUCUGGAAACAGGGGUUAAAUCCCCCUUAUCCACC
rnacentral:tRNA from 1 species